rnacentral:rRNA from 1 species
AGGUCUUGACAUACCUUGCAAAGCUAUAGAGAUAUAGUAGAGGUUAACAAGGAUACAGGUGGUGCAUGGUUGUCGUCAGUUCGUGUCGUGAGAUGUUUGGUUAAGUUCAGCAACGAACGCAACCCUUGUCCUUAGUUGCCAGCAUUAAGUUGGGGACUCUAAGGAGACUGCUAGUGUAAGCUAGAGGAAGGUGGGGACGACGUCAAAUCAUCAUGCCCCUUAUGACCUGGGCUACACACGUGCUACAAUGGCUGAUACAAAGAGUCGCUAAACCGCGAGGUCAAGCAAAUCUCAAAAAGUCAGUCUCAGUCCGGAUUGAAGUCUGCAACUCGACUUCAUGAAGUCGGAAUCGCUAGUAAUCGCGAAUCAGCAAUGUCGCGGUGAAUACGGUCUCGGGUC